rnacentral:rRNA from 1 species
GCGUGCAGGAUGAAGGCCUUCGGGUUGUAAACUGCUUUUGUCAGGGACGAAAAGGUUUCCGCUAAUACCGGAGACUGCUGACGGUACCUGAAGAAUAAGCACCGGCUAACUACGUGCCAGCAGCCGCGGUAAUACGUAGGGUGCAAGCGUUAAUCGGAAUUACUGGGCGUAAAGCGUGCGCAGGCGGUUUCGUAAGACAGAUGUGAAAUCCCCGGGCUUAACCUGGGAAUUGCAUUUGUGACUGCGGGACUAGAGUUUGGCAGAGGGAGGUGGAAUUCCAAGUGUAGCAGUGAAAUGCGU